AUACGUAGGGGGCGAGCGUUGUCCGGAAUGAUUGGGCGUAGAGGGCGCGUAGGCGGCCCGGUAAGUCUGGAGUGAAAGUCCUGUUUUUAAGAUGGGAAUUGCUUUGGAUACUGUCGGGCUUGAGUGCAGGAGAGGUAAGUGGAAUUCCCAGUGUAGCGGUGAAAUGCGUAGAGAUUGGGAGGAACACCAGUGGCGAAGGCGACGUACUGGACUGUAACUGACGCUGAGGCGCGAAAGUGUGGGGAGCAAACAGGAUUAGAUACCCUGGUAGUCCACACUGUAAACGAUGAAUGCUAGGUGUAGGGGGUAUCGACCCCUUCUGUGCCGCAGUCAACACAAUAAGCAUUCCGCCUGGGGAGUACGGCCGCAAGGUUGAAACUCAAAUGAAUUGGCGGGG
rnacentral:rRNA from 1 species